UGGACAGUCACAAAACUCUUCACCAACCAGU
rnacentral:piRNA from 1 species